rnacentral:rRNA from 1 species
UACGAGGGGCGCAAGUGUUGUUCGGAAUCACUGGGCGUAAAGGGAGCGUAGGCGGGCUUUUAAGUUAGGUGUUUAAUCCCGGGGCCCAACCCCGGACCGGCACCUAAAACUGGGAGUCUUGAAUAGUGGAGAGGUCAGUGGAAUUGGGGGUGUAGCGGUGGAAUGCGUAGAGAUCCGGAAGAACACCGGUGGCGAAGGCGGCCUGCUGGGCAGUAGCUGACGCUGAUGCGCGACAGCGUGGGGAGCAAACAGG